CCUGAUCCGAAGCCGAGUUCUGCCAGCGGAUCAGGUGGAUUAGUCCAUUCACUGGCAGAAACGGAGGAACCACCAUCGGCUGUCGAAAGACGGCCUUGGGGUGAAGUCCGUAGCGGAAGUGCAAACAACGCAAGGCCCCUCCGGGUACCUUGCGUUUCGUGCCCUUCGCGCGGACCGGGUCCACGAUCUCUCUGGCCCGAAUCCGACAGCUAACUUCGCAGGCUUGCCAGAGAGGAAAA
rnacentral:sRNA from 2 species